rnacentral:rRNA from 1 species
ACGAGCACGCCAAAAAAUCCAGACGAGUUGGCGAUAGUUCUUGCGGGUGACCAAACUAAUGGCAAUCAAGAAGAUGAUGGUCAUACUCCUACAGAAGGCAAUAUUGACGUCAACAUGAAUGAUAGCAAUGUGAGUGAUCAUGAGCCCAUAUUUAAUUCAUAUGCGGUAGAAUCUACUAGUGUUGAUGAGGAACAAGUUAGUGUGGAUAUUUAUGACCCAAGCAAUUGGGGUAAUCUUGAUAACAAAGCGAGGGACAUAUUAGUGGAAAAGGGGCCUAAAAUGGAAGAAGAAAACAAUAAAUAUCCUUUGGAUGAAAAUUCAAGACAUUUUUUGUAUAGCAUUAUUACCCCAGAAAGAUGA